rnacentral:rRNA from 1 species
AUGAUCUGGAAGAUAUGGGCUCCUGGCAAGAUCAAAAUGUUCCUCUGGUUGCUGCACUUGGACCGUCUAUGGUGCAAUGACAGACUGCAAAGGAGAGGAUGGGAGAACAGCUACUUCUGCCAUCUUUGUACGCAAAACCGAGAAACCUCGGUGCAUCUUUUCUGGGAGUGCCCGGUCUCACUCAGGGUUUGGAGCACUGCAACAACAUGGAGAGGGUGUGGCGCUCUAGAUCACACAUCUUGGCCCCCAGCCAACUCCACCACGGCGACAAUCCAGAGUAUCAUUAGCUCAACCACCCCCAAAAGCACAAAAGGCAUCAAGUCCAUGUUAGCUCUGAUCGCCUGGCACAUUUGGCUCGAGCAAAAUGGCUGCGUCUUCAGAUGCAAGCAAGCGUGCGUGAAAAACAUCAUUGAUGGCUGCAGAAGAGACCUGGAGCAAUGGAGGCUUGCUAGCGCAAGAUGCGUGGAGAGCCCAUUCGGGGAAGAACCAUGA